UGGCGGCAGCUACACAUGCAGUCGAGCGAGAUCUUCGGAUCUAGCGGCGGACGGGUGAGUAACGCGUGGGAACGUACCCUCUUCUGCGGGAUAGCCACUGGAAACGGUGAGUAAUACCGCAUACGCCCUUCGGGGGAAAGAUUUAUCGGAGGAGGAUCGGCCCGCGUUGGAUUAGGUAGUUGGUGGGGUAAUGGCCUACCAAGCCUACGAUCCAUAGCUGGUUUUAGAGGAUGAUCAGCCACACUGGGACUGAGACACGGCCCAGACUCCUACGGGAGGCAGCAGUGGGGAAUCUUAGACAAUGGGCGCAAGCCUGAUCUAGCCAUGCCGCGUGAGUGACGAAGGCCUUAGGGUCGUAAAGCUCUUUCGCCUGUGAUGAUAAUGACAGUAGCAGGUAAAGAAACCCCGGCUAACUCCGUGCCAGCAGCCGCGGUAAUACGGAGGGGGUUAGCGUUGUUCGGAAUUACUGGGCGUAAAGCGCACGUAGGCGGAUUGGAAAGUAUGGGGUGAAAUCCCAGGGCUCAACCCUGGAACGGCCUCAUAAACUUCCAGUCUGGAGUUCGAGAGAGGUGAGUGGAAUUCCGAGUGUAGAGGUGAAAUUCGUAGAUAUUCGGAGGAACACCAGUGGCGAAGGCGGCUCACUGGCUCGAUACUGACGCUGAGGUGCGAAAGUGUGGGGAGCAAACAGGAUUAGAUACCCUGGUA
rnacentral:rRNA from 1 species